rnacentral:rRNA from 1 species
AGGACGAACGCUGGCGGCGUGCUUAACACAUGCAAGUCGAGCGGUAAGGCCUUUCGGGGUACACGAGCGGCGAACGGGUGAGUAACACGUGGGUGAUCUGCCCUGCACUCUGGGAUAAGCCUGGGAAACUGGGUCUAAUACCGGAUAUGACCUGCUCUCGCAUGGGGGUGGGUGGAAAGAUUUAUCGGUGCAGGAUGGGCCCGCGGCCUAUCAGCUUGUUGGUGGGGUAAUGGCCUACCAAGGCGACGACGGGUAGCCGACCUGAGAGGGGUGACCGGGCCAACGACGUCGGGACUGAGACACGGCCCAGACUCCUACGGGAGGCAGCAGUGGGGAAUAUGCACAAUGGGCGAAAGCCUGAUGCAGCGACGCCGCGUGAGGAUGAAGGCCUUCGGGUUGUAAACCUCUUUCAGCAGGACGAAGCGCGAAGUGACGGUACCUGCAAGAAGAAGCACCGGACUAACUACGUGCCAGCAGCCGC